UACGGAGGAUCCAAGCGUCAUCCGGAUUUAUUGGGUUUAAAGGGUGCGUAGGCGGCUUAUUAAGUCAGGGGUGAAAGACGGUGGCUCAACCAUCGCAGUGCCCUUGAUACUGAUGAGCUUGAAUACACUAGAGGUAGGCGGAAUGUGACAAGUAGCGGUGAAAUGCAUAGAUAUGUUACAGAACACCGAUUGCGAAGGCAGCUUACUAUGGUGUGAUUGACGCUGAGGCACGAAAGCGUGGGGAUCAAACAGG
rnacentral:rRNA from 1 species